rnacentral:rRNA from 1 species
GACGAACGCCGGCGGCGUGCUUAACACAUGCAAGUCGAACGGUAAGGCCCUUCGGGGUACACGAGUGGCGAACGGGUGAGUAACACGUGGGUGAUCUGCCCUGCACUUCGGGAUAAGCCUGGGAAACUGGGUCUAAUACCGGAUAGGACUCCUGGCUUCAUGGUUGGGGGUGGAAAGCUCUUGCGGUGUGGGAUGGGCCCGCGGCCUAUCAGCUUGUUGGUGGGGUAAUGGCCUACCAAGGCGACGACGGGUAGCCGGCCUGAGGGGGUGACCGGUCACACUGGGGCUGAGAUACGGCCCAGACUCCUACGGGAGGCAGCAGUGGGGAAUAUUGCACAAUGGGCGCAAGCCUGAUGCAGCGACGCCGCGUGAGGGAUGACGGCCUUCGGGUUGUAAACCUCUUUCAGCUAUGACGAAGCGCAAGUGACGGUAGUAGCAGAAGAAGGACCGGCCAACUACGUGCCAGCCGCCGCCGUAA